rnacentral:rRNA from 1 species
CUCUAUGGCCAUAACACCCUGAACGUGCCCGAUCUCAUCUGAUCUCGGAAGCUAAGCAGGGUCGGGCCUGGUUAGUACUUGGAUGGGAGACAAUCUAUCUCUUAUGCUGA